CCUACGGGGUGCAGCAGUGGGGAAUAUUGGACAAUGGGGGGAACCCUGAUCCAGCGACGCCGCGUGGGUGAAGAAGGUCUUCGGAUCGUAAAACCCUGUUGUUAGAGAAGAAAGUGCGUGAGAGUAACUGUUCACGUUUCGACGGUAUCUAACCAGAAAGCCACGGCUAACUACGUGCCAGCAGCCGCGGUAAUACGUAGGUGGCAAGCGUUAUCCGGAUUUAUUGGGCGUAAAGGGAACGCAGGCGGUCUUUUAAGUCUGAUGUGAAAGCCUUCGGCUUAACCGGAGUAGUGCAUUGGAAACUGGGAGACGUGAGUGCAGAAGAGGAGAGUGGAACUCCAUGUGUAGCGGUGAAAUGCGUAGAUAUAUGGAAGAACACCAGUGGCGAAAGCGGCUCUCUGGUCUGUAACUGACGCUGAGGUUCGAAAGCGUGGGUAGCAAACAGGAUUAGAUACCCUGGUAGUC
rnacentral:rRNA from 1 species